GUCUCUGUCUCAACCCCUCAAAGUCUCGUCUUGUCUCGGUCUCAACCCCUCAAAGUCUCGGUCUUGUCUCGGUCUCAACCCCUCAAAGUCUCGGUCUUGUCUCUGUCUCAACCCCUCAAAGUCUCG